rnacentral:rRNA from 1 species
UUAGAGGAAGUAAAAGUCGUAACAAGGUUUCCGUAGGUGAACCUGCGGAAGGAUCAUUAUUGAAUAAGCUUGGUCGGGUUGCUGCUGGCCCUUUGGGGCAUGUGCACACCCGACACCAACUUUUCUUACCACCUGUGAACUUUUUGUGGACUUGGAAUACCUUUCCGAGGCAACUCGGUUUUGAGGAUUGCUGUGCAUAAGCCAGCUUUCCUUAUACUUUCCUGUCUAUGUUUUUAAUAUCCUCCUAAUUGCAUGUUUUUUAUAUAUAAAAAUAGGGCUUGAUUGCCUUUUAAACUUAUACAACUUUCAACAACGGAUCUCUUGGCUCUCGCAUCGAUGAAGAACGCAGCGAAAUGCGAUAAGUAAUGUGAAUUGCAGAAUUCAGUGAAUCAUCGAAUCUUUGAACGCACCUUGCGCUCCUUGGUAUUCCGAGGAGCAUGCCUGUUUGAGUGUCAUGAAAUUCUCAAGCUUGUAAGCUUUUACUAGCUGAUCAGGCUUGGAUGUGGGAGUUUGCGGGCUUCUCGAGAAAGUUGGCUCUCCUUAAAUUCAUUAGCGGGACCUUUUUGGUUGCUCCGGCCUUUGGUGUGAUAAUUGUUUACGCUAUUGUUGGAGUGAUUUGGGUGCAGCUUCUAAUUGUCUUUGAGACAAUGUAUAUGACAAUUUGACCUCAAAUCAAGUAGGACUACCCGCUGAACUUAAGCAUAUCAAUAAGCGGAGGAAAAGAAACUAACAAGGAUUCCCCUAGUAACUGCGAGUGAAGCGGGAAAAGCUCAAAUUUAAAAUCUGAGGGUCUGUGUAGCCUUCCGAAUUGUAAUCUAGAGAAGUGUUAUCCGCGCUGGACCGUGUACAAGUCUCCUGGAACGGAGCGUCAUAGA